CGGACCUGGCGCUAGUAGAUGAGCCCGCGUGAGUAUUAGCUUGUUGGUGGGGUAAUGGCCUACCAAGGCAACGAUCUCUAGCUGGUCUGAGAGGACGAUCAGCCACACUGGGACUGAGACACGGCCCAGACUCCUACGGGAGGCAGCAGUGGGGAAUAUUGGACAAUGGGCGAAAGCCUGAUCCAGCAAUGCCGCGUGUGUGAAGAAGGCCUGAGGGUUGUAAAGCACUUUCAAUCGUGAAGAAAAGUUGCAGGCUAAUACCCUGUGACCUUGACGUUAACGAUACAAGAAGCACCGGCUAACUCCGUG
rnacentral:rRNA from 1 species